rnacentral:lncRNA from 1 species
GACAUAUUAUUAGUUGAGUAGUGAAGUGUUUUUCUGCUUAUUCUGAGUUUGUCUUUUCCAAUUGUAUCUAUAGGAAAUGAGAAAGGAAAAUUUUGUUAGUGUGAACAAAAUUCAUCUACUAUUCAUCCCUGUGAAGGUAACACUGCUGGAUUUCAUAUCUUCCUUCAAAGAUGUAUUUGAGAGUGACUUUUACUAAAGCAAUUGUUACAGAAGCCACACAUUUCUCAGAAAGUUUCUCAUAAAAUUACUGUUCUAUUCUUUCACUGUUUCAUUUAGGCAUUGAAAUUAGAUUGGUCUUUUAUAAAUACUCAUUAGUAGAUCUGAU